rnacentral:pre_miRNA from 1 species
CACAUACUCCCUCCGUUCGGAAUUACUUGUCGCAGAAAUGGAUGUAUCUAGACGUAUUUUAGUUCUAGAUACAUCCGAGAUAAGUAAUUCCAAACGAGGGAGUAGUCC